AGUUUCCUUCUAAAUCACACACUGAAUCUAAUGGAAACAUUUCUGCACAAACUAGACUAUUGAAACCAGUGUGCAAAAUUGCUUCUGCUACAUUUUUAGGAAUACAUAGGAAAUUUCCAU
rnacentral:pre_miRNA from 12 species